UUUAUAUGAGAGUUUGAUCCUGGCUCAGGAUGAACGCUGGCGGCGUGCCUAAUACAUGCAAGUCGAACGAGUUCUGAUUAUUGAAAGGUGCUUGCAUCUUGAUUUAAUUUUGAACGAGUGGCGGACGGGUGAGUAACACGUGGGUAACCUGCCCUUAAGUGGGGGAUAACAUUUGGAAACAGAUGCUAAUACCGCAUAAAUCCAAGAACCGCAUGGUUCUUGGCUGAAAGAUGGCGC
rnacentral:rRNA from 1 species